rnacentral:rRNA from 1 species
AACGAACGCUGGCGGCAUGCCUAACACAUGCAAGUCGAACGAUGCCUUCGGGCAUAGUGGCGCACGGGUGCGUAACGCGUGGGAAUCUGCCUUUCGGUUCGGAAUAACUCAGGGAAACUUGAGCUAAUACCGGAUAACGUCGCAAGACCAAAGAUUUAUCACCGAAAGAUGAGCCCGCGUAGGAUUAGCUAGUUGGUGAGGUAAAGGCUCACCAAUGCGACGAUCCUUAGCUGGUCUGAGAGGAUGAUCAGCCACACUGGGACUGAGACACGGCCCAGAAUACUACGGGAGGCAGCAGUGGGGAAUAUUGGAAAAUGGGCGAAAGGAUGAACCAGCAAGGACGGGUGAGUGAUGAAGGCCGUAGGGUUGGAAAGCUAGUUUACCCGGGAAGAUAAUGACGGUACCGGGAGAAUAAGCCCCGGCUAACUCCGUG